AUACGGAGGGUGCAAGCGUUGUUCGGAAUCACUGGGCGUAAAGGGCGCGCAGGCGGUUUGGUAAGUCAGACGUGAAAGCCCAUGGCUCAACCAUGGAAGUGCAUUUGAAACUGUCAGACUUGAGUACUAGAGGGGAAAGUGGAAUUCCCGGUGUAGAGGUGAAAUUCGUAGAUAUCGGGAGGAAUACCGGUGGCGAAGGCGACUUUCUGGCUAGAUACUGACGCUGAGGCGCGAAAGCGUGGGGAGCAAACAGGAUUAGAAACCCCGGUAGUCC
rnacentral:rRNA from 1 species